UACGUAGGUGGCGAGCGUUGUCCGGAUUUACUGGGCGUAAAGGGAGCGUAGGCGGACUUUUAAGUGAGAUGUGAAAUACCCGGGCUCAACUUGGGUGCUGCAUUUCAAACUGGAAGUCUAGAGUGCAGGAGAGGAGAAUGGAAUUCCUAGUGUAGCGGUGAAAUGCGUAGAGAUUAGGAAGAACACCAGUGGCGAAGGCGAUUCUCUGGACUGUAACUGACGCUGAGGCUCGAAAGCGUGGGGAGCAAACAGGAUUAGAUACCCGGGUA
rnacentral:rRNA from 1 species